UGACUGAGUGGCGGACGGGUGAGUAACGCGUGGGUAACCUGCCCCAUACAGGGGGAUAACAGUUAGAAAUGACUGCUAAUACCGCAUAAGACCACAGCGCCGCAUGGUGCAGGGGUAAAAACUCCGGUGGUAUGGGAUGGACCCGCGUCUGAUUAGCUAGUUGGCGGGGUAACGGCCCACCAAGGCGACGAUCAGUAGCCGACCUGAGAGGGUGACCGGCCACAUUGGGACUGAGACACGGCCCAAACUCCUACGGGAGGCAGCAGUGGGGAAUAUUGCACAAUGGGGGAAACCCUGAUGCAGCGACGCCGCGUGAGUGAUGAAGUAUUUCGGUAUGUAAAGCUCUAUCAGCAGGGAAGAAAAUGACGGUACCUGACUAAGAAGCACCGGCUAAAUACGUGCCAGCAGCCGCGGUAAUACGUAUGGUGCAAGCGUUAUCCGGAUUUACUGGGUGUAAAGGGAGCGUAGACGGAUGGGCAAGUCUGAUGUGAAAACCCGGGGCUCAACCCCGGGACUGCAUUGGAAACUGUUCAUCUAGAGUGCUGGAGAGGUAAGUGGAAUUCCUAGUGUAGCGGUGAAAUGCGUAGAUAUUAGGAGGAACACCAGU
rnacentral:rRNA from 1 species